AAGGCUAUACUUUCAGGGAUCAUUUCUAUAGUAUGUUACAUGAAUUCCACAUAGGCAGCAGGCUACACUGUGAGAUAUCUAGGCACGUUUUGCAGGGCUGAAGAGCAGGGGUUCUGGGGUCAAAGGGCGUGGCCUGAAGCUGUGCCUGCCUCUCGCAAGUGCUUCAAGUGAGCCAGCUGCUCUGUGCCUCAGUACCCCCGCUGUGCUGU